rnacentral:lncRNA from 1 species
CCUCCAAAGCAUCAAACUCCUGUCUCAUUGCAUCCUCCUAUGCUGGGACAGAUGCAGCUUGAGAGUAGUACAUAGGUUCAGAUUCCAAAGUGGAAGAAGAGGAACAGAAAAGGUAGGCAGUUGACAAAGGUAGGAAGGAGGAUUAUGCUGUCUAGUGGACUUUCUAGGUGUGGGAAGAGGAUGGGAAGAAGGUAACACAGGAGUAGGGAGAUCAGGAUUGAAAGAAGGAAGGGAAGAUUGACCAACAUCAGGAAAAUCAGGUGUAGGAGAAUCAGAAUUAGAUGGAAGAACAGGAGAAUCAGGGGAAGCGAAUAUAGGAAAGUCUGAGGCAGUGAAAUCAUCAGCAGGAGGAAUAUAAGGAAAUUAUGAAGAAGAAGGGUGAGAAGAAGUAGGAUUAUUCUUAAAAGGGAAAUAAGUUUCAUGGAAGACAACAUCCCUUGAAACAAA